GAACUUAGAACCCCAGUGACUAGGCAACCAAUAGCAUCAGCCCCAUCCUCAACUCACUUGGCAAGAGACUCUUGACAGAGAAGGGCUGGUCUCUGGUUGUUUCCCAACUUCCUGGGGCUCUUGCCUCAGGAAACCCCAGAAAGCUUGAUGCCAAAGUGCUGAGCAAGACCCUCAACCCAGUCACUGCUGGUCAUUUAACAGGAAGCACAAAAAUGUAAAAAUAAACACUGUGACCUAAAGAGGGACACAGGUGAAGCCACUUCUCUCAGUCCUCUCUGGAGAGUCACAGUCCCCUCUGCUUUCAAGAUAAAAACCUCACAACAAGAAUUUUACAGAUCUCAGAUAAUUCACAGUAUUGAAAUGGGAUUCUCAGGAUUCCCACCCCCAUCAGAAGACACCAAGUUGCAGAUACUACCAUGAUGCCAACCUGACUACCCUGGAAAGAUGACCUCACCAAUGUGUCCUGGAACCUCAUCUUCCCAGAGCCCUGCCCCACUGGGGAAAGAUAGAAACGGGCUGGGAGUAUGGUUUGAUCUGUCAACACCCAUGUUCAGCAGAAAAGCAAUUACAGAAGCCAGACCUUCCACCUCUUGCACCCCAUAAUAAUCCUGGGUCCAUAUUUCCAGAGGGAUAAAGAAUAAGAAAGCUUCCUAUGGAGGGAUGGAAUAUGGGACUCUGGUAAUGGGAACGGUGUGGAAUUAUGCCCCUCUUAUCCUAUGGCCUUGUU